rnacentral:rRNA from 1 species
UACGUAGGGCGCAAGCGUUGUCCGGAAUUAUUGGGCGUAAAGAGCUCGUAGGUGGUCUGUUGCGUCCGCUGUGCAAACCCAGGGCUUGAACCCUGGGCUGGCAGGAUGGAUACGGGGCAGACUAGAGGUAGGUAGGGGGAGAAUGGAAUUCCCGGUGUAGCGGUGAAAUGCGCAGAUAUCGGGAGGAACACCGGUGGCGAAGGCGGUUCUCUGGGCCUUACCUGGACACUGAGGAGCGAAAGCGUGGGGAGCGGAAACAGGAUUAGGAAACCCUAAGUAG